GGUGUAUCUAUGGUAUGACUAUAAAGCAAUGAUACUGAUUCUCCAUUUGGGUUAUGGAAAUCAGUCUCAUUACCUUAUAGUUGCACUGGGUCUUC
rnacentral:pre_miRNA from 1 species